ensembl:scaRNA
GGUCAGUGAUGAGAAGUAAAAGGUCUGAUUACCCACAAUCCUCUCCUGCCAGCCUCUGGCUCCCAGCAGCGCUCAGCUCCCAUCGUGCUCAAGUCGUGCAGUGAUGGUCCCGGCCGCUGCUGACAGACAGGAUGUGACAUCACAGUGAGUCUGUGCAGAGACCUGCAGCCUCAGUGUGAUGAUGAGUGACAUCCAACAGAACCAAUCAGCACGGAGCGAGAGGCUGGGGGGGGCGGGGCCUGAUCUAUAGUUUUCAACCUGAGACC